CAGUCUGAUGGAGCACGCCGCGUGAGUGAAGAAGGGUUUCGGCUCGUAAAGCUCUGUUGUUAAAGAAGAACGUGGGUAAGAGUAACUGUUUACCCAGUGACGGUAUUUAACCAGAAAGCCACGGCUAACUACGUGCCAGCAGCCGCGGUAAUACGUAGGUGGCAAGCGUUAUCCGGAUUUAUUGGGCGUAAAGCGAGCGCAGGCGGUCUUUUAAGUCUAAUGUGAAAGCCUUCGGCUCAACCGAAGAAGUGCAUUGGAAACUGGGAGACUUGAGUGCAGAAGAGGACAGUGGAACUCCAUGUGUAGCGGUGAAAUGCGUAGAUAUAUGGAAGAACACCAGUGGCGAAGGCGGCUGUCUGGUCUGCAACUGACGCUGAGGCUCGAAAGCAUGGGUAGCGAACAGGAUUAGAUACCCUGGUAGUCCAUGCCGUAAACGAUGAUUACUAAGUGUUGGAGGGUUUCCGCCCUUCAGUGCUGCAGCUAACGCAUUAAGUAAUCCGCCUGGGGAGUACGACCGCAAGGUUGAAACUCAAAAGAAUUGACGGGGGCCCGCACAAGCGGUGGAGCAUGUGGUUUAAUUCGAAGCUACGCGAAGAACCUUACCAGGUCUUGACAUCUUCUGACAGUCUAAGAGAUUAGAGGUUCCCUUCGGGGACAGAAUGACAGGUGGUGCAUGGUUGUCGUCAGCUCGUGUCGUGAGAUGUUGGGUUAAGUCCCGCAACGAGCGCAACCCUUAUUACUAGUUGCCAGCAUUAAGUUGGGCACUCUAGUGAGACUGCCGGUGACAAACCGGAGGAAGGUGGGGACGACGUCAAAUCAUCAUGCCCCUUAUGACCUGGGCUACACACGUGCUACAAUGGAUGGUACAACGAGUCGCGAGACCGCGAGGUUAAGCUAAUCUCUUAAAACCAUUCUCAGUUCGGACUGUAGGCUGCAACUCGCCUACACGAAGUCGG
rnacentral:rRNA from 1 species